AUUAAGGUGGCAGAGCUUCAGCCAAUGCAAAAGGCCUAAGCCCUUUAAACAGGGGUUCAACUCCCCUCCUUAAUA
rnacentral:tRNA from 1 species